AAAGAGGGGGAAUAUAUUUUCUACAUAAGAAGGGCAUGAAGUGCUAUAGUGAGAAGGCAGACUGCUGGACUGGCUGAAGAGAGGCCUCCAAGAAUUCCUCCCACCCUGUAUGCACAUGCUGUACUUGCCAUCAUGAAGUGGAAUCUAUAUCCCUUUUUCUAGAAUCUGGGCUGGCCUGCAAGUUUCUCUGGCCAAUAGAAUGAGGCAGAGGCAAUGCUGUGUCAGGUCGUGAUGUGGGUCUUUUGAGGCCUGACAGGUUUUGCCCUUCUGGAAGCCAGCCACCAUAAAAAAAAGUUCAGGCUAGGAAAUAAAAUGACACAAGAUCAUGUGCAGAGAUCAGGCUUCUGUGCCAGAGAACUGAAAAGCCUAGACAUGUGAGUGGGGCUGGCUUGUAUGUUUCAGACCCAGCUGAGCUCCAGGCUGAAUGCAGCUGUGCGAGUGACUCCAGCUGACAUCACGGAAAAGCAGAAGGACCACCCGACCAACCUACAGACAUAGACGAAAUCGUUCGUGGAGGAAAUGCCAACGCCGGCAGCACCAGGCGGGUCUUCCUUGUCCUGCCUCUACCUGGACCUUAAUUGCCAAGGGCAGAAGACAGGCUCUGCUUCCCCCAGUGCCCUUUGUUGGGUGCGAAGAAAGAGCCUAGGCAGGGGCGGAGGCCAGCAGCCAGCUGAGGCUUUCGUGCAGGGUGAAAUGCAGCGGAGGGGCAGCGGCUCUGCUUCGCUGCCGGUUUUCUCGCUCUCCCAACAAAGAACUCAAAGUCACUGAGUGUUAGAGAAACCUCCAGAUGAGCCUGGCAAGGGAAGCUGGAGAAGAGCCCUGUAGCUUUCAUUGAAUUCCCGCCUCUCCUAAAGAACUUAAUUUCCACUUUCAGUAUCUCUAGUUCUUUCUUCACCUUCCCUUUUAUUAUAAAAAGUCAGACUCCUA